rnacentral:piRNA from 1 species
GUAGCUCUGAAUUUAUGCUUUGCAUGG